rnacentral:lncRNA from 1 species
CUAUUGAAUCAACGGUUGCUUCAUAUUUGGAACCUUUCCAACAUACCGCUUAAGAGUAAACCAGUUUUUCCAUAUGAAAUUUUCUCAAGAUUUCAUCUAUGUAAAUUGGGAUGAGUUAAGCAAUCUUCUAGAUCUACCUCUAUAGAUCAAGUUGCUUAUCCCAUAUCAUUUAUGAAUAAAUCCUUUAACAACCAUUAUUUCAACGAUUGAAAUAUAGGGAUGUCGUUUUAGGAAUACGAAAAAUGCUCCCACUAUCUUCUUGUACACACAAUUCAUUUUUAAAUUUGAUAAAAUCAAACACUUUGACUUUUCAUCAAAUCUAAGAUUUCAGCUCCAAGAGACUUCUCUUAACCUAUAGUCACGAUAUGCAACUAUUGCAAACAAAACCCGAAUGGACUUAAGCAAAGCUACAGGAGAAAUAUUUCACCAAGGUCAACAUUUAACCUUUGCUUCUAGCAUUGCUUUGUAUAUAUGGAUAUUCAUAUCCAUAUCAACCUUUUCUUUUGUAAACUAUUUACAAAAGCUUAUGGGCUUUAUUCCAUUAGGAGGCUUGACCAAGGUCCAAACCUUGUUCACUUGCGUCGAGCUUCAUCUCGAGUUUCAUGGCCUCUUGCUGUCUCUUUUAAGUCAACACUUGACUUUAUUUUGUUGCAACUAGUAGGUUCAUUAUCCUGGAUCACUAAUUAAUGAUUCACACCUUCUUGAAGGUCGAAUGAGCCUACUAGAUUCACAUAGAGCUGUCAUGUCCUCAGGAGUCUUCACUUCCUGAUCCAAAGUAUGUCCCAUAUCAGAUAUGGGAUCAAACUCAGAUUUAUCUACUUGGUUAACUAUAUCUGUGGACUUUUGAACUCUUUCAAAAUUCUAUUUUACUCCCACUGUCCUCUCCUAGAGUAAACAUUUUCUCUAAGAAGGCGAUAUGUCGUGAGACGAAGACUUUCUUCAUGAUAAUAGAAUUUAUAUUCAAUUGUCUCCUUUGAAUAUCUCACAAAUAUAUAUUUAUCGAAUUUAGUCUCAAACUUAUCCGAUUUAAGGCGCUUCAAUUUAGCGUCAUGACCCCAAUUUUUCAUAUAAGAUAAAUUGGGACUAUUGUCUUUCCAUAACUCGUAUGGAGUUCUGUUAACCAAUUUAGAUGGGACAUGGUUUAGUGUGUUGCACACUGCAAUUAAUGCGUGACCUCAAAACAAUUUUGAGAAAUUUGCAUGGCUUGUUAUUAAUCACAUUACAUGAAAUAAUUAACGAUUCCUCCUUCUAGAUACACCACCUUGCUGCAGUGCAUAUGAAGGAGUCCACUGCACGAGAAUCUCAUUCUCUCUUAAAUAAUCUAAAUUUUAUCUUUAAGAUACUCUCACUUGAUCGAAUCUUAAUGUGAAGGUAUCUUUACCUCUUUGUUUCUCUAAUUCUAGUGUGAAACCCUUGAACUUUUCAAGAGUUUCAUGUUCGAGUUUUCAUCAAGUAUACUUGAUCAUUGAUGAAAUAAGAGAAACAUUAUCUGACAUUGAUUGACAUGAAUCCAUAUGCAUCGCUAUGCAUUAGACCAGUAAUUAUGCUGACCUUUCUUCUUUUCAAGCAAAAGAAGAUUUGGUUAUUGUGCCAGACAUGCAUAAUUUGUACUUGUCAAAAUGAAUUAAUCCCAAGUAUACAUCUUUAUGUAACUUUGGAAUUAUAUUUCAUCUAAAUGACAAAGUCUGUCAUGCCAGAUUUUUGGUAAUAAUUAGAUUAUAGUAUUUAUGCCUUAUAAUUUCUAUACUUAC